rnacentral:misc_RNA from 1 species
CUUUAACUAUUACAUUAUUUCAUGUAAUAGGUUAAGACUUUGUUGUAAAUCUUAGCAGCAAUGGAUUUUCUAUUAUUCUUGUAUGAUCAUUUUUAAACUCUUGAGAAUUAAUGAUUGAUAUUUACAGCUUCAGAUGUGAUAUUUGUGAAUGAUUGAUAUAGUUUGUAGUCCUUUAUACUUUUAUUUUAUACUUUAAUACACAGUGCUUACUGCUAUUGUUUAUAUAGAUUCAUUUAAUUUAUUUGCCUUUGUCAUUAAUAUAAAAAACAUUUUUUUUUUAUUGUUUAUGCAUUUUUUUUGGUCAUUAUUUAGUUGCUAUAGUGUAGUAUAUUCAGUGAUAUUUUUUGUAUUAUUGUUAAUUGGGAAUAUUUUUUCAUACUUUUAGGCUUAAUAUAUUGUGUAUGUUCUUACUUAGCAUAUGUAAGGAAUAUGCAUUAAGGAUUGUAAUAUGAAUUCCAUUUAUAUAUGUAUUUACCUCAUGUGGAAAAAGUUGAAACUUGUGUCAGAGUU